rnacentral:rRNA from 1 species
ACGGGAGUAGACCAACAGGGAUUGCCCCAGUAACGGCGAGUGAAGCGGCAACAGCUCAAAUUUGAAAUCUGGCCCUCGGGUCCGAGUUGUAAUUUGCAGAGGAUGCUUCGGGCGAGGUGCCUUCCGAGUUCCCUGGAACGGGACGCCAUAGAGGGUGAGAGCCCCGUCUGGUCGGACACCGAGCCCGUGUGAAGCUCCUUCGAAGAGUCGAGUAGUUUGGGAAUGCUGCUCAAAAUGGGAGGUAUAUGUCUUCUAAAGCUAAAUAUUGGCCAGAGACCGAUAGCGCACAAGUAGAGUGAUCGAAAGAUGAAAAGCACUUUGAAAAGAGGGUUAAAAAGUACGUGAAAUUGUUGAAAGGGAAGCGCCCAUGACCAGACUUGGGCCCGGUGAAUCAUCCGGCGUUCUCGCCGGUGCACUUUGCCGGGCACAGGCCAGCAUCAGUCUGGCGCGGGGGAUAAAGGCUUCGGGAAUGUGGCUCCCUCGGGAGUGUUAUAGCCCGUUGCGCAAUACCCUGCGCCGGACUGAGGUACGCGCAUCGCAAGGAUGCUGGCGUAAUGGUCAUCAGCGACCCGUCUUGAAACACGGACCAAGGAGUCGUCUUCGUAUGCGAGUGUUCGGGUGUCAAACCCCUACGCGGAAUGAAAGUGAACGCAGGUGAGAGCUUCGGCGCAUCAUCGACCGAUCCUGAUGUUCUCGGAUGGAUUUGAGUAAGAGCAUACGGGGCCGGACCCGAAAGAAGGUGAACUAUGCCUGUAUAGGGUGAAGCCAGAGGAAACUCUGGUGGAAGCUCGCAGCGGUUCUGACGUGCGAAUCGAUCGUCAAAUAUGGGCAUGGGGGCGAAAGACUAAUCGAACCUUCUAGUAGCUGGGUUCCGCCGAU